rnacentral:rRNA from 1 species
AAAGGGUGUGUAGGAGGUUGAGUAAGUCAGGUGUGAAAUCUCAGGGCUUAACCCUGAAACUGCGCUUGAUACUGCUCGGCUAGAGGAUCGGAGGGGGUAUCGGAAUUUAUGGUGUAGCAGUGAAAUGCGUAGAUAUCAUAAGGAACACCGGUGGCGAAGGCGGAUACCUGGAAGAUUCCUGACUCUGAAACACGAAAGCCAGGGGAGCAAACGGGAUUAGAUACCCUAGU